CAGGGUUCGGCCGCCGCACCGCAACACUCGGGUCCACCAUUUCACUGGUUUUUGUCGCCUUUCUGUCUCUAUUCUUCACCAGCGACUCUGAUCUUUGUCCUUCUUCCUCAACCUCUGUCUUUGCGACCUACUCCUCUAAGAUUAAGGGUGGACAAGAAGUAGAAAACAGAACAUGAUCUUCACAUACAUGCAUUUAAGAGGUGGAAAGUUUUCAAACAACAAAUAAAAGACAUGCUUCAUCAUAGUGAUCAAAGGGCAUCGAGUUGAAAAAGCCUAGUGCUUCUCUUUAUACGUUUCCAUGCCAGAUUGCAUAUGUAAACAGGAAGAAGCAAGUAGAAACUGUAGCUCUAGGAAAUGUAUGAUGUUUUGAGUGUAAAUAUAUGGCCUUUAAGAACACGUUCAAUACCUGUAAUUUAUUUUUGUAUCAUUUAGUUCGAUUUUCUUUUUUCUUUUUAAAUGUGGUAGAGUUAUUUUAAGUAGAGUAUAUAAAAAGGCCAUGAAUUAAGUGUUAAUUGUUAUUUUCAUUUAAACUCAACAAAUGACACUUAAGUGUACAUUAAAUAAUUGUAUACCUACACAGACACGUUCCUGAUUCCUGAAUGUUGAUUGCAUCAUGAAUCAUUCUUGGAUCCCCGCUGACUGCUAAGCUUAGCAUGGCAAUUUGAUUGCGUGAAGAUUAUAUUGAAGGUUUAUAAUUUUGGUUCUUGAUUUACCAAUUAGAGGUAAUCGAUAUUUGCAUGAGUUGUCUACAUGACUACUUCCAAUAAUGGCAUUCUGAGUUUUGAUCUUAUACAUUACAUUGGAUUUCGUGGUAAGAAUUUGUGGAGUGGCAGCAUGAUAAUAUUUUCAGAUUGCACUGUAUAUUGUUACAGCUACAAUUACAACUAUAUAUAUAAUGCUCUGUUUCAUUGAGCCAAUUCUAGGCUCUACUUA